AUGCCACUCUCACCUGAUCACAAUUUUGUAAUAAAAGAGAAAACCUGUUUGUUGAGGAAGCAUUUCAACGCAUGGCAUUGGAUCAUCUUCUUAAGAUUGCUGGUUGUUGAUAUGUUUGGAUGUGGGCUGUCGAUUUGUGUUGUUUCAUAUUUUUGGAAUUAUUUUCUGGCUGGAAGGAAUAAAAUACAUGAUUGGGAAAGGAACAUAACUACUCAAGUUACAUGUAAAUUUUUAAACUUUUAUUCUAGGAUCAUGGCAUCUUGA